CAAUUCAAUUGAGAAUAUAGUGCCUGGAUUAAAACGAUCCGGUACUUCCCACAUACGGACAACACCAACUUUUAACUUCCAUUACAUCUUCAAAAUCGUUAUAUCCUUGAUGAAAUCUAAGUGAGUAGCCAUCUUUUGCAUAACCAUAACUUUCCUUGAAAUCUUGAUAGAAGAAGGAACUUUAGAAUUGAAGAACGUGUAGAUGAGGAAGAAAUAUAAACUCCUCUACGCUUUUGCAGUUGAUACCCAGUAAGAGCAGUUGAUACCCAGUAUAAGAUACGUGGGUUAAGCAGUUGAAUUCAUCGUGCUUUUGCAGAUAAAGGAAUUUGAACGGGUUUGAAG
rnacentral:lncRNA from 1 species